rnacentral:misc_RNA from 1 species
GGAGAGCUGAAGUAUGACUUAUAAGUCAAAAUAUCAGGCGAUGACGACCAGAUAAUAGUGAAUUCAACUACUUUCAAGUUUUCAGCGUCUAGAGUAACCUUAGCAAUUGAUGGUGGAUGAAAGGGUGACGCUCCCUCCACAUAAAAGCAAUGGUUCCCAAUAGUAAUAUUAUCAAUAUCUGAUAAGGGAAUAUCAAGAAGAGAUGGAGAGC